rnacentral:rRNA from 1 species
GACGAACGCUGGCGGCAUGCCUAAUACAUGCAAGUCGAGCGAACAGAUGAAGUGCUUGCACUUCUGACGUUAGCGGCGAACGGGUGAGUAACACGUAAGGAAUCUACCUAUAAGCGGGGGAUAACAUUCGGAAACGGGUGCUAAUACCGCAUAAUAUCUUCUUCCGCAUGGAAGAAGGUUGAAAGACGGCUCUGCUGUCACUUAUAGAUGACCUUGCGGUGCAUUAGUUAGUUGGUGGGGUAACGGCCUACCAAGACGAUGAUGCAUAGCCGACCUAGGAGGGUGAUCGGCCACCUUUGGACAGAGACACGGCCCAAACUCCUACGGGAGGCAGCAGUAGGGAAUCUUCCGCAAUGGGCGAAAGCCUGACGGAGCAAUGCCGCGUGAGUGAAGAAGGCCUUCGGGUCGUAAAACUCUGUUAUAAGAGAAGAACAAAUUGUAGAGUAACUGCUACAGUCUUGACGGUAUCUUAUCAGAAAGCCACGGCUAACUACGUGCCAGCCGCCGCAGUAA